AACAGAAUAACAUUUUACCGAGGCCAAAACAAAUUAUUAUUAAAGCAAACUAAUUUACAAAAUCAGACACACUUUAACAAGCCGUGAGACAAUUUUACAAGCGACAGAGCAUUUUUACCGGUCCUGAAACAAAUUUACAAAUGGCAGAUUCUGCCGGAAAAGAAAUGCACCAACGAUUUUCAAAAUAAAAGAAGUCUGUAAUACGAAAAUGUGCCACAGCCAGGGAAUUAAUAUAUAUUUGACAUUAACAACCAUGUUUCCACAUAUAUAUAUAUAUAUAUUUUUUGAUUCAGACUGAUAAGCUGUUGCACAUUUUUAUAUUACAGACGUCUUUUAUUUUGAAAAUCAUUGGUACAUUCCUUUCCCGGUAGAAUCUGCUGUUUGCAAAUUUUUUUCAGGACUGUUAAAAAUGUUCUGUCUCUUGUAAAAGUGUUUUUGAUUUUGUAAAUAUGUUUUCUCAAGUGUAAAUUUGUUUAGGCCUUGGUAAAAGUGUUUGCUAAUGUAAUUUUGUGUUAUAAAAGUCAAAAUGAUUUUAAAAAUGUAAAUUUGUCUCCAACUUUGUAAUAGUGUUUCCUUCUUUGUAAAUUUGCAUUGCACUUUCCAGCCACCAUAAUAAAUUCUUCCACUGAGGGUGCCAAACUUAUUGUUCUAAUUCAUCACAUCGCAUUUUUAAAAGAAAUACUGUUCUUCCCCAAUCACAUAACUUAAAUUUAAUUUUAUUACAAGUUGUACAAGACCUAAAUUUACCAAAUUUACCAAAGAACCAAAUUUACAGCUAACUUGUUUUUGGCUCCGUCAAGCAGUAAAUUAUACUGCUUGACUCAUUUGUGAUCCAUUCCAUGACAGAGGGCUCAUUUUUUAAAAGUAUUUGAUGUUGUUACAAGCCUGCUUGAUUUUAAUUACAUGUGUAGAUGUGCUUUAUUUGCUUUGACAGACUUUCUUUUUAUUUUUUUAAAUGUUAUGGAACAUUUUGGGAUGCUUUUCUGUUUGUGCCACCUCAACUGUCAUUCAAGUCGUCUACUGUGAACUAACCUGCCUGAGCAUGUUAAAAUAAAUCAAAGGUACGAAAUGGACAAAACCAAUUAUAUGUGCCACCCGGAAAAAAAUACCUUCUAAAACACCCUACCCAUUCAGGCAAACACUGGUGUACAAUAAAAGAAGGAAAAUGA